rnacentral:misc_RNA from 1 species
AGCAGCCGCGGUAAUUCCAGCUCCAAUAGCGUAUAUUAAAGUUGUUGCAGUUAAAAGCUCGUAGUUGAAUUUCGGGAUCAAUACGUCGGUCGUGCUUCGGUACGUACUGGCGUAAUUGAUUUCUCCCUUCUGACGAACCAUGAUGUCAUUAACUUGGUGUCAUGGGAAAUCAGGACUGUUACUUUGAAAAAUUAGAGUGUUUAAAGCAGGCUCACGCUUGAAUACAUUAGCAUGGAAUAAUGAAAUAGGACGUUCGAUCCUAUUU